UGCAAGGAAUUAAGAAAAUGAUAGAUAGCACAUAUGGCAACCACUGGGUUAAUUAUGAACUUAAUCUUUUCUUUUCUUUUAUGCA
rnacentral:sRNA from 1 species